UACGUAGGGUGCGAGCGUUGUCCGGAAUUAUUGGGCGUAAAGGGCUCGUAGGCGGUCUGUCACGUCGAAAGUGAAAACUCAGGGCUCAACCCUGAGCCUGCUUCCGAUAUGGGCAGACUAGAGGUAUGCAGGGGAGAAUGGAAUUCCUGGUGUAGCGGUGAAAUGCGCAGAUAUCAGGAGGAACACCAGUGGCGAAGGCGGUUCUCUGGGCAUUACCUGACGCUGAGGAGCGAAAGUGUGGGGAGCGAACAGG
rnacentral:rRNA from 1 species